AGACACAUGGUCUAAUGGCUAUAAUAUCUCGCUCACACCGAGAUGGUUCUGAGUUCGAUCCUCAAUGUGGUUA
rnacentral:tRNA from 1 species